UACGAAGGGGGCUAGCGUUGCUCGGAAUCACUGGGCGUAAAGGGUGCGUAGGCGGGUCUUUAAGUCAGGCGUGAAAGCCCCGGGCUCAACCUGGGAACCGCGCUUGAGACUGGCAUGCUCGAGUUCGGGAGAGGAUGGUGGAAUUCCCAGUGUAGAGGUGAAAUUCGUAGAUAUUGGGAAGAACACCGAUGGCGAAGGCAGCCAUCUGGACCGACACUGACGCUGAGGCGCGAAAAGCGUGGGGAGCAAACAGG
rnacentral:rRNA from 1 species